AGACGGAAAGACCCCGUGAACCUUUACUAUAGCUUUGCACUGGACUUUGAAUUUGCUUGUGUAGGAUAGGUGGGAGGCUUUGAAGCGUGGACGCCAGUUCGCGUGGAGCCAACCUUGAAAUACCACCCUGGCAACUUUGAGGUUCUAACUCAGGUCCGUUAUCCGGAUCGAGGACAGUGUAUGGUGGGUAGUUUGACUGGGGCGGUCUCCUCCUAAAGAGUAACGGAGGAGUACGAAGGUGCGCUCAGACCGGUCGGAAAUCGGUCGUAGAGUAUAAAGGCAAAAGCGCGCUUGACUGCGAGACA
rnacentral:rRNA from 1 species